rnacentral:rRNA from 1 species
AUUGAACGCUGGCGGCAGGCCUAACACAUGCAAGUCGAACGAGUGGCGGACGGGUGAGUAAUGUCUGGGAAACUGCCUGAUGGAGGGGGAUAACUACUGGAAACGGUAGCUAAUACCGCAUACCAUCAGAUGUGCCCAGAUGGGAUUAGCUAGUUGGUGGGGUAAAGGCUCACCAAGGCGACGAUCCCUAGCUGGUCUGAGAGGAUGACGGGCCAGACUGGAAAGGAGAAACGGUCCAACCUCUUACGGGGGGCAGCAGUGGGGAAUAUUGCACAAUGGGCGAAAGCCUGAUGCAGCCAGGCGGGUGGUAGGAAGAGGGCCUUCGGGUUGUAAAGGCCUUUCAGAGGGGAGGCGUUACCCGCAGAGAAAGCACCGGCUAACUCCGUGCCAGCAGCCGCGGUAAUAC